CCAAAUGCCAGUGGGGCAUUUGUUCAGUGCCCUUAUAUUGAUCCAUACAUGUUUGCAAGACUGUGCAGGAUGCUUUGGAGAGAGAAUGGAGAGCAUAAAGAGACCAAAGAGAAGUAGAAGGAAGCUGGCCUUCAGCCUCAGUGUCAGACACUGGGAAAUAAGUGGUCAUGGGAAAGGCACAGCCUUCAACAACAAUGGAGAGGACUUUAGCAUCUGCUUCUCAGGUCCUGAUGCUGAACUCAGCUGGGAUGCCAAUUUCUCCCCUCUCUAGGCCAGGGCCCUGCCUGGAUCUUGUGAGCACCUCCUUCACCAAAGGGCCCGUGUGAACUGGAAGGGGUUUCAUGUUACAUUCUGGCUAUGGUAUUUUACACUGAUUGUGUGAAUGCCCAUUUCCUGGGACACAAAUUGGACACAGUGAGAGUUCUUCCCCACAGACACCUUGGGUGACAUGGACCGAGGGGCUGGUGACCUGGGCAGAUAUGUCACUGCUGUUUUCUGGAAUCUUCAAGUUCGCAUCACAGAUACUGCCAACUAUGGCCAUAGAUAGAGCCUGGCUGGUCCAAGUGAUGCUCUGUUUGACUCUUCCCUCACCACUGAUCUUCACAGUGAAUGGACUUCUAGGCACAUUCUCAUCCACAAAUUUGUUGGAAAUGAUACAGACCCCAGGCUCAGUGGGGAGGUAGGAUACCUUGUGGACAAUGUCCUCCAGGUAGUCUAUCUGGAUUUCCACAUCGCUGGAUCAUUCUACCACCAAGAAUAUGCCACCAUAACCUUCAUCUCUUGAGUCUACAAUAAAGUCAGAUAUCUCUAAAGUCUGGCCUUCUGACAGGUUUUGGUCACAUAGACUUGGGUGCAGCACAAAUUGUCAGUUUCAGACUGGAUCAUGAUAAUGGAUAUGGGAUUCCAGUAAUGUGGUUGCCAUUCUUCUUGAUGCUGACUAGAUAUUCUCCCACCUCUCAGAGGAUGAAAGAAAUGCCAGUGUGGUUUGGGGGCAGCUUCUUCAGCAGACAGGGCUUGUCAUGUCCAGAUGGGGCUCGAUACUGACUGUCAUGUAUUAAGGUCAGUCUCACUGAUGUCCAGAAGGAAGUUGGCCACUGAUCCUUGUGGUGAUAUAUUGUGUACCCUAACAAAUUUGCCUGAAGAUCAGAGAACAGAACAAGCCACCAGAUUAAACAUAGAGGCCAAACAGUGGUGGCAUACACCUUUAAUACUAGCACUUGGGAGGCAGAAAUCUGUCUAGAUCUCUGUGAGUUCAAAGUCUCCCUGGACUACAUGUGAUUGACUCAGUUUAGAAGAGAAAACAGAGCCAGGCAGUAUUUGGAUACACCUUUAAUCCCAGUACUGGGAAGCACACAUGCCUUUAAUUCCAGGAAGUGAUAGCUAGGUGGAGAAAGGUAUAUAAGGUAUGAGGAGACAGGAAGUAGAGGCUCCUAGAGGCUUUUCAGCUGGAGGUGCUUUUGGAUGAGGACAGCCCUUUCAGCUGAAGGCUUUUUGGCUAAGGAAGCUCUUUCAAGUUGAGGAGUUGGUGAGGUCAGAGGUGGUGGCUGUGGCUUGCACUGGGUCUAUCAAGACGGCAUAUCCUCAGGGUCUUGGGAGGUUCUAGAACUCCUGUCUUGUAAUAUCCACACCCACCCCAAACUAUGCCAUUGGGAUAAGUGAUUAAAACAGCCUCUUCUGACUUAUUCACAGCUGCACAGGAUGCAACUUGGCUUCAAAGUCCUCGGCCAUGUAGUUUCAGAAGACAGGAGAAAAUUUGCAUUGUUCACAAGCACUCAGGUAGUGUUCAGAGGCCCAAGUCACUUGAUGGAUGCUUCAGACCUUCAUGUUGAUGGACCAGAUUCACAAAGCCACCCUCACUGACAGCCCAGGACAUCCAGAGCCAGGAAGGGGACAAUCUCUGUCAUAGUCCAUUGCCUCUAACAGCUCCCAGACUUCACUAGAAAUCUUUGUGCCACCCACAGCUAGGAACUCAGAAGCCUUAGGUGUCAGUGGCAUGCAGUGGUACUUGGUAGUUCCUAGUCUGCUAAUAGCUAUAAUGUAAAGUGUGAGAAUCUCCA